rnacentral:rRNA from 1 species
AGUGAACGCUGGCGGCAGGCCUAACACAUGCAAGUCGAACGGCAGCACAGAGGAGCUUGCUCCUUGGGUGGCGAGUGGCGGACGGGUGAGGAAUACAACGGAAUCUGCCUAUUUGUGGGGGAUAACGUAGGGAAACUUACGCUAAUACCGCAUACGACCUACGGGUGAAAGCGGAGGACCUUCGGGCUUCGCGCAGAUAGAUGAGCCGAUGUCGGAUUAGCUAGUUGGCGGGGUAAAGGCCCACCAAGGCGACGAUCCGUAGCUGGUCUGAGAGGAUGAUCGGCCACACUGGAACGGAGACACGGUCCAGAAUCCUACGGGAGGCAGCAGUGGGGAAUAUUGGACAAUGGGCGCAAGCCUGAUCCAGCCAUGCCGCGUGGGUGAAGAAGGCCUUCGGGUUGUAAAGCCCUUUUGUUGGGAAAGAAAAGCAGCCGGUUAAUACCCGGUUGUUCUGACGGUACCCAAAGAAUAAGCACCGGCUAACUUCGUGCCAGCAGCCGCCGUAAAAC